AUACGGAGGGUGCAAGCGUUAAUCGGAAUUACUGGGCGUAAAGCGUGCGUAGGUGGACUGUUAAGUCAGAUGUGAAAGCCCUGGGCUCAACCUAGGAAUUGCAUUUGAUACUGGCAGUCUAGAGUAUGGUAGAGGGUAGUGGAAUUCCCGGUGUAGCAGUGAAAUGCGUAGAUAUCGGGAGGAACAUCAGUGGCGAAGGCGACUACCUGGACCAAUACUGACACUGAGGCACGAAAGCGUGGGGAGCGAACGGGAUUAGAAACCCCAGUAGUCC
rnacentral:rRNA from 1 species